rnacentral:misc_RNA from 1 species
GUGAAUCAUCGAAUCUUUGAACGCAAAUUGCACUCUCUGGUAUUCCGGAGAGUAUGCCUGUUUGAGGGUCAGUAUAAAUAAAAAUCGAGGUGUUGCUUAUGGUUACGCCAUAGGAAUUGGGUCAUCUUUAAUCUUAAUAAAGGUUUAAAGUGACCUAUAAUUGAUGAUACCUUGUGCAUCACAAGACGUACAUAAGAAUUUUUUGUUAUCCGUAAGGAGAUUUCCAAAUAUUUUUUAGAUAU